rnacentral:rRNA from 1 species
AUACGUAGGUGGCAAGCGUUGUCCGGAUUUACUGGGUGUAAAGGGCGUGUAGCCGGGUCGGCAAGUCAGAUGUGAAAUCUGGAGGCUCAACCUCCAAACUGCAUUUGAAACUGCCGGUCUUGAGUAUCGGAGAGGUAAUCGGAAUUCCUUGUGUAGCGGUGAAAUGCGUAGAUAUAAGGAAGAACACCAGUGGCGAAGGCGGAUUACUGGACGACAACUGACGGUGAGGCGCGAAAGCGUGGGGAGC